rnacentral:rRNA from 1 species
AUUGAACGCUGGCGGUAGGCCUAACACAUGCAAGUCGAACGCGAAAGUCCUUCGGGAUGAGUAGAGUGGCGGACGGGUGAGUAACGCGUAGGAAUCUAUCCUGUAGUGGGGGAUAACGUUUCGAAAGGAACGCUAAUACCGCAUACGCCCCAAGGGGAAAGCGGGGGAUCUUCGGACCUCGUGCUAUAGGAGGAGCCUGCGUCGGAUUAGCUAGUUGGUGAGGUAAAGGCUCACCAAGGCGACGAUCCGUAGCUGGUCUGAGAGGAUGAUCAGCCACACCGGAACUGAGACACGGUCCGGACUCCUACGGGAGGCAGCAGUGGGGAAUAUUGCGCAAUGGGCGAAAGCCUGACGCAGCCAUACCGCGUGUGUGAAGAAGGCCUUCGGGUUGUAAAGCACUUUCAGUGGGGAGGAAAAGCUGGUGGCUAAUAUCCAUCGGCCGUGACGCUACCCACAGAAGAAGCACCGGCUAAUUCCGUGCCAGCCGCCGCAGUAAUUC